AGUGAACGCUGGCGGUAGGCCUAACACAUGCAAGUCGAACGGCAGCACAGUAAGAGCUUGCUCUUACGGGUGGCGAGUGGCGGACGGGUGAGGAAUACAUCGGAAUCUACUUUUUCGUGGGGGAUAACGUAGGGAAACUUACGCUAAUACCGCAUACGACCUACGGGUGAAAGCAGGGGAUCUUCGGACCUUGCGCGAUUGAAUGAGCCGAUGUCGGAUUAGCUAGUUGGCGGGGUAAAUGCCCACCAAGGCGACGAUCCGUAGCUGGUCUGAGAGGAUGAUCAGCCACACUGGAACUGAGACACGGUCCAGACUCCUACGGGAGGCAGCAGUGGGGAAUAUUGGACAAUGGGCGAAAGCCUGAUCCAGCCAUACCGCGUGGGUGAAGAAGGCCUUCGGGUUGUAAAGCCCUUUUGUUGGGAAAGAAAAGCAGCAGGUUAAUACCCCGCUGUUCUGACGGUACCCAAAGAAUAAGCACCGGCUAACUUCGUG
rnacentral:rRNA from 1 species